AAGCAGUGAGGAGAUUUGUGCCAACUGUGAUGGAUGGGUCUAUCACCAGCGUCUGAAUCUUCGGACGAAAGGGUGGCGCAUCUGAGCUU